GACGAACGCUGGCGGCGUGCUUAACACAUGCAAGUCGAACGGAAAGGCCCUGCUUUUGUGGGGUGCUCGAGUGGCGAACGGGUGAGUAACACGUGAGUAACCUGCCCUUGACUUUGGGAUAACUUCAGGAAACUGGGGCUAAUACCGGAUAGGAGCUCCUGCUGCAUGGUGGGGGUUGGAAAGUUUCGGCGGUUGGGGAUGGACUCGCGGCUUAUCAGCUUGUUGGUGGGGUAGUGGCUUACCAAGGCUUUGACGGGUAGCCGGCCUGAGAGGGUGACCGGCCACAUUGGGACUGAGCUACGGCCCAGACUCCUACGGGAGGCAGCAGUGGGGAAUGUUGCACAAUGGGCGGAAGCCUGAUGCAGCCACGCCGCGUGCGGGAUGACGGCCUUCGGGUUGUAAACCGCUUUCGCCUGUGACGAAGCGUGAGUGACGGUAAUGGGUAAAGAAGCACCGGCUAACUACGUG
rnacentral:rRNA from 1 species